UACGAAGGGGGCUAGCGUUGUUCGGAAUCACUGGGCGUAAAGCGCACGUAGGCGGGUCGCUAAGUCGGGGGUGAAAUCCCGAGGCUCAACCUCGGAACUGCCUUCGAUACUGGCGAUCUUCGAGUCCGGGAGAGGUGAGUGGAACUCCGAGUGUAGAGGUGAAAUUCGUAGAUAUUCGGAAGAACACCAGUGGCGAAGGCGGCUCACUGGCCCGGUACUGACGCUGAGGUGCGAAAGCGUGGGGAGCAAACAGG
rnacentral:rRNA from 1 species